rnacentral:rRNA from 1 species
UGGGGGAAUAUUGCACAAUGGGCGCAAGCCUGAUGCAGCCAUGCCGCGUGUGUGAAGAAGGCCUUCGGGUUGUAAAGCACUUUCAGCGAGGAGGAAGGUGGUGAACUUAAUACGUUCAUCAAUUGACGUUACUCGCAGAAGAAGCACCGGCUAACUCCGUGCCAGCAGCCGCGGUAAUACGGAGGGUGCAAGCGUUAAUCGGAAUUACUGGGCGUAAAGCGCACGCAGGCGGUUUGUUAAGUCAGAUGUGAAAUCCCCGGGCUCAACCUGGGAACUGCAUUUGAAACUGGCAAGCUAGAGUCUCGUAGAGGGGGGUAGAAUUCCAGGUGUAGCGGUGAAAUGCGUAGAGAUCUGGAGGAAUACCGGUGGCGAAGGCGGCCCCCUGGACGAAGACUGACGCUCAGGUGCGAAAGCGUGGGGCAGCAAACAGGAUUAGAUACCCCUGGUUAGGUACCAGCGCUGUAAAACCGAUGUCGAUUUGGAGGUUGUGCCCUUGAGGCGUGGCUUCCGGAGCUAACGCGUUAAAUCGACCGCCUGGGGAGUACGGCCGCAAGGUUAAAACUCAAAGGAAUUGACGGGUC